rnacentral:tRNA from 1 species
GGCGCUAUAGUGUAGUGGUUAUCACUUGGGAUUCUGACUUGGUACUAAGUUCCCAAAACCCAGGUUCGAGCCCUGGUAGCGCCU